AUUGAACGCUGGCGGCAGGCCUAACACAUGCAAGUCGAACGGUAACAGGAAGCAGCUUGCUGCUUUGCUGACGAGUGGCGGACGGGUGAGUAAUGUCUGGGAAACUGCCCGAUGGAGGGGGGUAACUACUGGAAACGGUAGCUAAUACCGCAUAACGUCGCAAGACCAAAGAGGGGGACCUUAGGGCCUCUUGCCAUCGGAUGUGCCCAGAUGGGAUUAGCUAGUAGGUGGGGUAACGGCUCACCUAGGCGACGAUCCCUAGCUGGUCUGAGAGGAUGACCAGCCACACUGGAACUGAGACACGGUCCAGACUCCUACGGGAGGCAGCAGUGGGGAAUAUUGCACAAUGGGCGCAAGCCUGAUGCAGCCAUGCCGCGUGUAUGAAGAAGGCCUUCGGGUUGUAAAGUACUUUCAGCGGGGAGGAAGGGAGUAAAGUUAAUACCUUUGCUCAUUGACGUUACCCGCAGAAGAAGCACCGGCUAACUCCGUG
rnacentral:rRNA from 1 species